GAUGAACGCUGGCGGCGUGCCUAAUACAUGCAAGUCGAGCGAACAGACGAGGAGCUUGCUCCUCUGACGUUAGCGGCGGACGGGUGAGUAACACGUGGAUAACCUACCUAUAAGACUGGGAUAACUUCGGGAAACCGGAGCUAAUACCGGAUAAUAUAUUGAACCGCAUGGUUCAAUAGUGAAAGACGGUUUUGCUGUCACUUAUAGAUGGAUCCGCGCCGCAUUAGCUAGUUGGUAAGGUAACGGCUUACCAAGGCGACGAUGCGUAGCCGACCUGAGAGGGUGAUCGGCCACACUGGAGCUGAGACACGGUCCAGACUCCUACGGGAGGCAGCAGUAGGGAAUCUGCCGCAAUGGGCGAAAGCCUGACGGAGCAACGCCGCGUGAGUGAUGAAGGUCUUCGGAUCGUAAAACUCUGUUAUUAGGGAAGAACAAAUGUGUAAGUAACUAUGCACGUCUUGACGGUACCUAAUCAGAAAGCCACGGCUAACUACGUG
rnacentral:rRNA from 1 species